rnacentral:rRNA from 1 species
UACAGAGGGUGCGAGCGUUGUUCGGAAUUACUGGGCGUAAAGCGCGCGCAGGCGGCCCUUUAAGUCCGUCGGUCAAAUGCCGGGGCUCAACCCCGAUGCAUGCCGAGGAUACUGGAGGGCUGGAGACACGUAGAGGCAAGCGGAAUUCCGGGUGUAGCGGUGGAAUGCGUAGAGAUCCGGAAGAACACCGGAGGCGAAGGCAGCUCGCUGGGACGGAACUGACGCUGAGGCGCGAAAGCGUGGGGAGCGAACAGG